UACAGAGGUCCCAAGCGUUGUUCGGAUUCACUGGGCGUAAAGGGUGCGUAGGUGGCCAGGUAAGUUUGGUGUGAAAGCUCGGAGCUCAACUCCGAAAUGGUAUUGAAUACUAUCUGGCUGGAGGGUCGGAGGGGAGACUGGAAUUCUCGGUGUAGCAGUGAAAUGCGUAGAUAUCGAGAGGAACACCAGUGGCGAAGGCGAGUCUCUGGACGACACCUGACACUGAGGCACGAAAGCUAGGGGAGCAAACAGG
rnacentral:rRNA from 1 species